rnacentral:rRNA from 1 species
UACAGAGGGUGCAAGCGUUAAUCGGAAUUACUGGGCGUAAAGCGUGCGUAGACGGUUGCGUAAGUCCGAUGUGAAAGCCCCGGGCUCAACCUGGGAAUUGCAUUUGAGACUGCGUAGCUAGGGUGCGGAAGAGGGAAGCGGAAUUUCCGGUGUAGCGGUGAAAUGCGUAGAUAUCGGAAGGAACACCAGUGGCGAAAGCGGCUUCCUGGUCCAGCACCGACGUUCAGGCACGAAAGCGUGGGGAGCAAACAGG